AAAAAACAUUGGAGAAGAAGAAGGAGAAAGGAAGAAGGAAGGCAAGGGAGGAGGAAGAAGGAAGGGCUUGGGGUUCCUAUCAACUAAGAUGAUGGAACCAGUGCUGAGGCAGGCUUGGGGCUUCGGUGGCAAUGGUGAAGCUUGUGUCUACAUGACAUCAUGUUGACAGACAUUACUUCUUUAUUUUCAGUUAUUUAUCCUUAUGUAUUAUUUAUAAUCUUAUGAUACAUGUGAACAUAAUUCAAAUGAAUUUGAGUAUAUUGUAAUUAUCAUUUAGUGAAUCACCAGUAGUAGAGUAAAGUUUAUAAAUCUUA